GAUGGAGAGACAAUGAUGGGAGAAUUCCAAGCACAUAUCUGAGCUUUGUGUUGAGAUUACUUGUCACUGAGUCUUUCCUAC
ensembl:snoRNA